rnacentral:rRNA from 2 species
CAAGACAACUUUACGGAGUUGACGAUUGACGGAGCGAAGCGACGUCAAAGCGUUCAUUAAAGUCGAGUUGGCUUAGGGAUACGUUCGUUGGGUAGGGGAGCGUUCUGUAAGCCUGUGAAGGUGUGUCGUGAGGCAUGCUGGAGGUAUCAGAAGUGCGAAUGCUGACAUAAGUAACGAUAAAGCGGGUGAAAAGCCCGCUCGCCGGAAGACCAAGGGUUCCUGUCCAACGUUAAUCGGGGCAGGGUGAGUCGACCCCUAAGGCGAGGCCGAAAGGCGUAGUCGAUGGGAAACGGGUUAAUAUUCCCGUACUUGGUGUUACUGCGAAGGGGGGACGGAGAAGGCUAUGUUGGCCGGGCGACGGUUGUCCCGGUUUAAGCGUGUAGGUGUGUGUUCCAGGUAAAUCCGGUUCACUU